UGAUGGCCAUGAUGAUCCUGCCAUGUCGGCUCUCCUGAUGUAUAAGCCGUGAAGGUUGUACAGUCACUACCUCUUCUGAUGCCAUCU